rnacentral:rRNA from 1 species
UACGGGGGGGGCAAGCGUUGUUCGGAAUUACUGGGCGUAAAGGGUUCGUAGGCGGUGCGGCAAGUCGGGAGUGAAAUCUCUGGGCUCAACUCAGAGGCUGCUUCCGAAACUGCCGCGCUAGAGUGCGGGAGAGGCCAGUGGAAUUGCAGGUGUAGCGGUGAAAUGCGUAGAUAUCUGCAGGAACACCCGUGGCGAAGGCGGCUGGCUGGACCGUAACUGACGCUGAGGAACGAAAGCUAGGGGAGCAAACAGG